AAUGAACGUUGGCGGCAUGGAUUAGGCAUGCAAGUCGAGCGAGAAGAGUUUUGAAGCUUGCUUUAGAACUCGGACAGCGGCGAAAGGGAGAGUAACGCGUAGUUAUGUGCCCUAGGGUCCGGAAUAGCCACGGGAAACUGUGGGUAAUGCCGGAUAAUAUCCCCGGAUCAAAGGUGUGAUUCCGCCCUAGGAGCAGACUGCGUCCUACUAGCUAGUUGGUGGGGUAAUGGCCCACCAAGGCAAUGAUGGGUAGCGGGUGUGAGAGCAUGACCCGUCUCACUGGGACUGAGACACUGCCAAGACACCUACGGGUGGCUGCAGUCGAGAAUCUUCGGCAAUGGGCGAAAGCCUGACCGAGCGAUGCCGCGUGCGGGAUGAAGGCCCUCGGGUUGUAAACCGCUGUCGUAGGGGAGGAAGGUUCCGUGAAGAGCGGGACUUGACCUAUCCUAGGAGGAAGUACGGGCUAAGUUCGUGCCAGCCGCCGCAGUAA
rnacentral:rRNA from 1 species